rnacentral:rRNA from 1 species
GUAGGUGGCAAGCGUUGUCCGGAAUUAUUGGGCGUAAAGCGCGCGCAGGCGGUUCUUUAAGUCUGAUGUGAAAGCCCACGGCUCAACCGUGGAGGGUCAUUGGAAACUGGGGAACUUGAGUACAGAAGAGGAAGGCGGAAUUCCACGUGUAGCGGUGAAAUGCGUAGAGAUGUGGAGGAACACCAGUGGCGAAGGCGGCUUUCUGGUCUGUAACUGACGCUGAGGCGCGAAAGCGUGGGGAGCAAACAGGGAUUAGAUACCCUGGUAGUCCACGCCGUAAACGAUGAGUGCUAAGUGUUAGGGGGGUUUCCGCCCCCCUUAGUGCUGCAGCUAACGCAUUAAGCACUCCGCCUGGGGAUACGGCCGCAAGGCUG